ensembl:Y_RNA Y_RNA Y RNA
GGCUGGUCAAAGUGCAACGGUUUUACAACUAAUUGAUCACAACCAGUUACAGAUUUUUUUUUUGUUCCUUUUCCACUCCAACUGCUUCACUUGACUAGCCUAGG